rnacentral:rRNA from 1 species
UACGUAGGAGGCGAGCGUUGUCCGGAUUUACUGGGCGUAAAGGGCGCGUAGGUGGCCGGGUCCGUCGGUGGUGCAAGCUUCAGGCUUAACCUGGAGAGGUCCGCCGAUACCACUUGGCUUGAGGUCGGUAGAGGAGCAUGGAAUUCCUGGUGUAGUGGUGAAAUGCGUAGAUAUCAGGAGGAACACUAGUGGCAAAAGCGGUGCUCUGGGCCGACCCUGACGCUGAGGCGCGAAAGCGUGGGGAGCAAACCGG